rnacentral:rRNA from 1 species
GCAUGGUAGAGGAGCGUUCUGUAAGCCGUUGAAGGUCAAGCUGUAAGGCAGGCUGGAGGUAUCAGAAGUGCGAAUGUUGACAUGAGUAACGAUAAGGGGAGUGAAAAACUUCCCCGCCGGAAGACCAAGGUUUCCUGUCCCAUGUUAAUCAGGGCAGGGUGAGUCGGCCCCUAAGGCGAGGCAGAAAUGCGUAGUCGAUGGGAAACAGGUUAAUAUUCCUGUACUUGCAUAUAUUGCGAUGGAGAGACGGAGAAGGCUAGGCCAGCACAGCGAUGGUUGUCUGUGUUUAAGGCGGUAGGCUGGUGACUUAGGUAAAUCCGGGUUGCCUUAAGGCCGAGAACUGAUGACGAGCCCUCUUUUGGGUGAAGUGGUUGAUGCCAUGCUUCCAGGAAAAACUUCUAAGCUUCAGAUAUAUGGGAACCGUACCCCAAACCGACACAGGUGGUCAGGUAGAGAAUACCAAGGCGCUUGAGAGAACUCUGGUGAAGGAACUAGGCAAAAUGGUACCGUAACUUCGGGAGAAGGUACGCCGAUUUUGGUGAUGGGAUUUACUCCUUAAGCUGAGAUUGGUCGAAGAUACCAGGUGGCUGCGACUGUUUAUUAAAAACACAGCACUCUGCAAACACGAAAGUGGACGUAUAGGGUGUGACGCCUGCCCGGUGCUUGAAGGUUAAUUGAUGGGGUUAGCAUUAGCGAAGCUCUUGAUCGAAGCCCAAGUAAACGGCGGCCGUAACUAUAACGGUCCUAAGGUAGCGAAAUUCCUUGUCGGGUAAGUUCCGACCUGCACGAAUGGCGUAACGAUGGCCACACUGUCUCCACCAGAGACUCAGUGAAAUUGAAAUCGCAGUGAAGAUGCUGUGUAUCCGCGGCUAGACGGAAAGACCCCGUGAACCUUUACUAUAGCUUCACAGUGAACUUUGAACCUACUUGUGUAGGAUAGGUGGGAGGCUUUGAAACCAAGACGCUAGUUUUGGUGGAGCCACUCUUGAAAUACCACCCUGGUAUGUUUGAGGUUCUAACUCAGGUCCCUAAUCGGGAUCGAGGACACUGUGUGGUGGGUAGUUUGACUGGGGCGGUCUCCUCCCAAAGAGUAACGGAGGAGCACGAAGGUGUGCUCAGCAUGGUCGGAAAUCAUGCGAAGAGUGUAAAGGCAAAAGCGCGCUUAACUGCGAGACAGACACGUCGAGCAGGUACGAAAGUAGGUCUUAGUGAUCCGGUGGUUCUGUAUGGAAGGGCCAUCGCUCAACGGAUAAAAGGUACUCCGGGGAUAACAGGCUGAUACCGCCCAAGAGUUCACAUCGACGGCGGUGUUUGGCACCUCGAUGUCGGCUCAUCACAUCCUGGGGCUGAAGCCGGUCCCAAGGGUAUGGCUGUUCGCCAUUUAAAGUGGUACGCGAGCUGGGUUUAGAACGUCGUGAGACAGUUCGGUCCCUAUCUGCCGUGGACGUUUGAGAUUUGAGAGGAGCUGCUCCUAGUACGAGAGGACCGGAGUGGACGAACCUCUGGUGUUCCGGUUGUCACGCCAGUGGCAUUGCCGGGUAGCUACGUUCGGACGGGAUAACCGCUGAAAGCAUCUAAGCGGGAAGCCUCCCUCAAGAUGAGAUCUCACUGGAACUUUAAGUUCCCUAAAGAGCCGUUGAAGACUACGACGUUGAUAGGCUGGGUGUGUAAGCGUUGUGAGGCGUUGAGCUAACCAGUACUAAUUGCUCGUGAGGCUUGACCAUAUAACGCCAAAAUGGUUU